CCCACUAGUGUGUGCUUGCUGCUGAUGAAGUAGUAUUUAAUCAGAAGGAACUGGAGGUUAAGGAACUGAAGAAUCAAGUGCAGAUGAUGGUACAGGAAAACAAAGGGCAUGCUGUAUCUUUGAAAGAAGCGCAAAAAGUGAAUAGACUGCAGGAUCUCAUUCUGUUGCUCAGGCUGGUGUGCGCUGGCACAAUCACAGCUCACUGCAGUCUCGACCUUCCAGGCUCAAGUGAUCCUCCCGCCUCAGCCUCCUAACUGUGACCACAGGUGCAUGCCACCGCGCCCGGCUAAUUUUCUGAUUUUUUUGUGGAGACGGGGUCUCACUGUGUUGCUCAAGCUGGUCUCGAACUCCUGGGCUCAGUGAUCCUACCACCUCAGCUUCCCAAAGUGCUGAGAUUGAUUACAG
rnacentral:lncRNA from 10 species